UCCUGUGAAGGGUAGCAAGAGCAAUGGUAACUUGUAUUCAUAUUCAACAAGGGAAAAUAUUAAAGAAAGAUGGAAUAUAAAGGAACUUGAAUUAGAAGUCACUUCAAACAAACAAAGAAUCCCUAUAAUUGAAAAUAACGAUGAAGGCCCAGAAGACACAUGUCAGAUAUAACUCAACAAGAAAAUGUUAUCAUUUUAUUAUGGUGAAUAUAUUUUAUACAUUCAAGCCCAAACACUAGACAUAAUUUAUACAAUUGUACAUUCUAGAGUAAAGUUUACAUCAUAGGCAUUAAUUUAGUUUUAAAAUUUUCUUUAUAUUCAAUAGGCCUUUUCUGAGAUAGCAGUUUGCAUUGCAUUGUGGUCUAGAUUUGGUACAAACAUCUUUUGUUUGCCAAAUAUGGCAUCCUUUGUACUGAAGCUAGGCCACAAUGUACUACGAUUUUGUAUUUCAGAAAAGGUCUAUAGAUCAUUACUUGUCUUGUUGUAUAUAUCAGUGACUAGACCUUCUCUGGAAAUAUUCUCAGUAUUAUUAUCCACAAACACAAAUGUAUAUAUCAAGUCUAGAAUAAUUAUUCCUAAGUCAGGGGCUUACAUUGUAAAAAAAAACCUUGAGCCUGAUUUUAAGAAUGGCCUGGGCCAGGAAACCAUGUAGGAUAAGACCCAGACUAGUCUCCUUCACAACCUCCCCUUUUGUCGGGCUUCCUGUCCCUCCUGACAUGACAAAAGGGGAGGCUGUGAAGGAGACUUGACCCAGACUGUCUAAAUUUAGGUUUAUUUUCAGAAAUGAAUUAGAUUCCUUUCAUUGAUCCCCUUUACAUGUUUUUAUAUUGUUAUUACAUGAUGUUUUUAUUGUAUUAAAACGUUCUAAAUAGAGUACAAACACUAAAACUGUGCAACAUAAAUACCACUAAAUACUGCUAAAUUAUGCUAAUUCUAUUGUUUUCUAUUGUUUAAUUUACACUAUUUUGUAGUAAAUAGUGGAAAGUGUUGCACACAUUUAAUGUUUGUACUCUAAUAAAGUCCUAUUUAAGCAAAAACUAAAAAAUAAUAUUAUGUCAAUGAGUGAUCAAUCCAGUAUGUUUGGCCAUCAUUUCAUAUGGAAAAGCUGCAUGAGUACUACAUCAACAGCUUGAAURCUGUGAUCAUCCACAAUGACAACAUCAAAUGCAGCAGUGUAACUGUCAAGUCUUUCAUCAACCUGAAACCAAAUUUCCAACAUUUGAUACUGUUUAAUACUAUGCAAUAAUGAAAAACCAACCCAGUAGGGGUAGGGAGGGRAUGGUACUCUAGCUGUACAAACCCUAAUGAAAAGCUUAAUUAAAUUAUUAAUACACAAUAAAAAGAGAGAGGAAAAGGAUUGAUGAUUAA